rnacentral:rRNA from 1 species
UACGUAGGGUCCAAGCGUUAAUCGGAAUUACUGGGCGUAAAGCGUGCGCAGGCGGUUGUGCAAGACCGAUGUGAAAUCCCCGAGCUUAACUUGGGAAUUGCAUUGGUGACUGCACGGCUAGAGUGUGUCAGAGGGGGGUAGAAUUCCACGUGUAGCAGUGAAAUGCGUAGAGAUGUGGAGGAACACCGAUGGCGAAGGCAGCCCCCUGGGUCAAGAUUGACGCUCAUGCACGAAAGCGUGGGGAGCAAACAGG